ACNCUCCCUCCCCUCCUCCAUCCAAGCCCCUACCCAUCAUCCCUCCCUUUCCUCCUUCCCUUUCCCCUCCUCCCUCCAAGCUCCUCCCCCAACCCCAUCUCCGCCCUCCUCCUCUCCUAGGUCCCCCUGUUUCCAGCGGAGGCUUGUGGGAGCGCGGAGGGGGCGUGGUGCCGCGGGACGUGGGCGGGAGUGGCGAGGCGCGCAGGCGCAGACCGAGCGGGACCGACCGUGGCCGGAGCUCGGCUGCCGCGGCUACGUGACCGCCGGUGAGUGGGUGCCGCCCGCCGGGUUCGAUGGUCCUCCAGGCUUUCGUCGUGGGGGCAGGACUACGCACCCUGGACCGCCAGAGGGGCGCGGAAGGGGCUGUGAAUCCCGCCGCCCCUGCAUACCUCACUUUUCCCGCCCGGACAGUGGAUCUGCGGGUGCCGCUGUGCCGGGGCGGCGCGCUGGGCUCCGGCCGCCGGAGCUGCUCUCGUUGUCGCUGUUGUUUAGAGUUUCUUCUAAUUUAAAGCCGAUUGCUGUGGAAAAUCAGUUUGGUGGUUCUUUGAUAAGUCGAACCCAGAAUUUCCACAUGACCCAGCGAUUCCACUCAGCCCCCAGACUCAGCCACCAGGCCCCCAUCACCUUGGACAGUGAAGGAAUGGCCACCCAGCUGCUGGCUGAUGAGGCCCUGACAGUCUUCCCUGGGAUGAUACACUGAAGCCAGCUCCCUGGAUGGAUCAGAUGACUUUGUGGUUGUAGGGCCUAGUGACCUUCAAAGAUGUGGCUGUGGACUUCACCCAGGAGGAGUGGCAGCAGCUGGAGCCAACUCAGAGAGAUCUGUACCGUGACGUCAUGCUGGAGAACUUCCAGAACCUGAGCUCACUGGGUAAGACCAACCAUUCUGGGGAGGGCCCUCUUCCUGGCUCAGGGCCAGUACCUUCUCCAUGUGUCCUGCAUGGAGGCAAGGUCAGGGG
rnacentral:lncRNA from 1 species